rnacentral:rRNA from 1 species
UGCAAGUCGAACGGGAAUCUUCGGAUUCUAGUGGCGGACGGGUGAGUAACGCGUAAGAAUCUAACUUCAGGACGGGGACAACAGUUGGAAACGACUGCUAAUACCCGAUGUGCCGCAAGGUGAAACCUAAUUGGCCUGAAGAAGAGCUUGCGUCUGAUUAGCUAGUUGGUGGGGUAAAGGCCUACCAAGGCGACGAUCAGUAGCUGGUCUGAGAGGAUGAGCAGCCACACUGGGACUGAGACACGGCCCAGACUCCUACGGGAGGCAGCAGUGGGGAAUUUUCCGCAAUGGGCGAAAGCCUGACGGAGCAACGCCGCGUGAGGGAGGAAGGUCUUUGGAUUGUAAACCUCUUUUCUCAAGGAAGAAGUUCUGACGGUACUUGAGGAAUCAGCCUCGGCUAACUCCGUGCCAGCAGCCGCGGUAAUACGGGGGAGGCAAGCGUUAUCCGGAAUUAUUGGGCGUAAAGCGUCCGCAGGUGGUCAGCCAAGUCUGCUGUCAAAUCAGGUUGCUUAACGACCUAAAGGCGGUGGAAACUGGCAGACUAGAGAGCAGUAGGGGUAGCAGGAAUUCCCAGUGUAGCGGUGAAAUGCGUAGAGAUUGGGAAGAACAUCGGUGGCGAAAGCGUGCUACUGGGCUGUAUCUGACACUCAGGGACGAAAGCUAGGGGAGCGAAAGGGAUUAGAUACCCCUGUAGUCCUAGCCGUAAACGAUGGAUACUAGGCGUGGCUUGUAUCGACCCGAGCCGUGCCGAAGCUAACGCGUUA